AGUCAUCUCCACACCCUGACAACAUUCACACCUGCUCAGACACCGCCGGCCUUAGACAGGCUACCACUUUCAGCUCUCUCGGCUGUCCUGUGUCACAGACAGAAACAGAGCCUUCCAAAGGAUGACAAUCUGGGCCUGAAACUUCUUCCUGGAGGUCCACAUUCCUGCAGGUUCUUGGGCCCUGCUGACUGAAGUUCCUCCAAACUACUGUAAGAAAACAAGCUUUAUCCAGGAGCAGGAAAACUGAACAAAGGAGGUUUCAGCCUUUCUUUCUGAACCCUGACUAAAUAGGAUGAAGUUCCCAUUUCCACUGUUUCAGUCUCUUCUGCAAACCGAGGUGCCUGCCUUUGGUCCCACACCACCCCUCCUACUGCAAUGUAAACGGAAAUGCUGAUUUGAUGAGCUUUGUCUACACCCUGGUCUAUGGAAACCUGCACUUGGCUGAACCAGAUAUACUCAAAACGUGUGUGCUGCUUAUGAGAGCACCACCCACAUUUCAAAAGUCCACAGCAGCUGGGACAGAGUCACCUCACAGCUGGAAACACAGACACUUGGAAGGCUCUGCUUGGACAGAGACGGUGAAGGUCAUUUCUAACCACAGAAGAUUGGCCACACUGCCGUGAGACUAAGACCACCAUAGUAUAUCCUAUCCUGCUUAUUCAGGGCCUACUGUGGUUGAAUGAAAAUAUACAUGGAUGUAAUUGUGUAUGUA